rnacentral:rRNA from 1 species
UACGUAGGGUGCGAGCGUUGUCCGGAAUUAUUGGGCGUAAAGAGCUCGUAGGCGGCUUGUCGCAUCGACUGUGAAAACCCGCGGCUCAACCGUGUGGUCUGCAGUCGAUACGGGCAGGCUAGAGUUCGGUAGGGGAGACUGGAAUUCCUGGUGUAGCGGUGAAAUGCGCAGAUAUCAGGAAGAACACCUAUGGCGAAGGCAGCUCUCUGGGACGGUACUGACGCUGAGACGCGAAAGCGUGGGGAGCGAACAGG